rnacentral:rRNA from 1 species
AUUGAACGCUGGCGGCAUGCCUUACACAUGCAAGUCGAACGGCAGCAUGGAGAGCUUGCUCUCUGAUGGCGAGUGGCGAACGGGUGAGUAAAGCAUCGGAACGUACCGUGUAGUGGGAGAUAACGUAGCGAAAGUUACGCUAAUACCGCAUACGACCUGAGGGUGAAAGCAGGGGAUCGCAAGACCUUGCGUUAUACGAGCGGCCGAUGUCAGAUUAGCUAGUUGGUGAGGUAAAGGCUCACCAAGGCGACGAUCUGUAGCGGGUCUGAGAGGAUGAUCCGCCACACUGGGACUGGGACACGGCCCAGACUCCUACGGGAGGCAGCAGUGGGGAAUUUUGGACAAUGGGGGCAACCCUGAUCCAGCCAUGCCGCGUGAGUGAAGAAGGCCUUCGGGUUGUAAAGCUCUUUCGGCCGGGAAGAAAUCGCACAGGCUAAUACUCUGUGUGGAUGACGGUACCGGCAUAAGAAGCACCGGCUAACUACGUGCCAGCCGCCGCAGUAA